CAGAAGAACUCAGAUGUAUCUGGUUUAAUCAACGCGCGUCGGGAGAGGAGAUGCCAGCUCGUAUAGCAGCUCUACGGGCCUCAGGGGCUGGAAAGUGCUGAUGAACCCUGUUGUCCGGAGAGGUGCUGGCCUGACGGGAUGAUGGGACGGAGGAAUAAAGCGAGAGCAGUGUGGUGUUCUCAUCUCUUCAGAUCUCAGCACAAAGGCAGUAUGGCGAAGGUGUGAUCGCUUAUGAAGUAAUCAAGGACUCAUUUACGUCCAUUGUUUUGUAGAGAAAUUGUCUGCUAAAUAUUUCUGAAACAUCGAGCACUCACAGGUGAAUGCUUUAUAUCUGAUCAGACUCGGAUGUUUGUUGCACUUGAAGAAUUGUUUCUCACAAUACGUUCUUCU
rnacentral:lncRNA from 1 species